rnacentral:rRNA from 1 species
CCUACGGGAGGCAGCAGUGGGGAAUUUUGGACAAUGGGCGCAAGCCUGAUCCAGCAAUGCCGCGUGAGUGAAGAAGGCCUUCGGGUUGUAAAGCUCUUUUGUCAGGGAAGAAACGGCUGAGGCUAAUAUCCUCGGCUAAUGACGGUACCUGAAGAAUAAGCACCGGCUAACUACGUGCCAGCAGCCGCGGUAAUACGUAGGGUGCAAGCGUUAAUCGGAAUUACUGGGCGUAAAGCGUGCGCAGGCGGUUUUGUAAGUCUGUCGUGAAAGCCCCGGGCUUAACCUGGGAAUUGCGAUGGAGACUGCAAGGCUUGAAUCUGGCAGAGGGGGGUAGAAUUCCACGUGUAGCAGUGAAAUGCGUAGAGAUGUGGAGGAACACCGAUGGCGAAGGCAGCCCCCUGGGUCAAGAUUGACGCUCAUGCACGAAAGCGUGGGGAGCAAACAGGAUUAGAUACCCUGGUAGUCCACGCCCUAAACGAUGUCUACUAGUUGUCGGGUCUUAAUUGACUUGGUAACGCAGCUACGCGUGAGUAGACCGCCGUCGGGAGGUACGGUCGCGAGAAGUUAAAACGUUAAAGUAGUAAGUUAGUACGGCGUGAGACGUAGACCGAACGGACGACGACGAGGGGAGGUUAGG